UGGUGGGGACCGGAGGAGACUCUGCUGCUGCCUGUCCGUCUUCUCUUCAGUUUGCAGACUUGCUACUACUGCUUUGUUGUCGGAGGUCACUCAGUCCCACCAGCGCACAGCUCACAGCGCACUCAGGACCCGCACAGACCCGCACUGACCCGCACUGCUCUCCGCAGACAACACUUCUCUCCGCAGUUUAAUUUAAAACACAACAAAACAAAUCCAGCAUCAUGGGGAAAGGCUGCCUGACAGCGACCAAGUAUUUCCUGUUUCUCUUCAACCUCAUCUUCUUUUUGUGCGGGGUGGUCAUCAUGGGCUUUGGACUGUGGCUCCUGCUGGACAAUCAGAGCUUCAUCGUCAUCCUCAGUGA